GACGAACGCUGGCGGCGUGCUUAACACAUGCAAGUCGAACGGAAAGGCCCGGCUUUUGUGGGGUGCUCGAGUGGCGAACGGGUGAGUAACAAGUGAGUAACCUGCCCUUGACUUUGGGAUAACUUCAGGAAACUGGGGCUAAUACCGGAUAGGAGCUCCUGCUGCAUGGUGGGGGUUGGAAAGUUUCGGCGGUUGGGGAUGGACUCGCGGCUUAUCAGCUUGUUGGUGGGGUAGUGGCUUACCAAGGCUUUGACGGGUAGCCGGCCUGAGAGGGUGACCGGCCACAUUGGGACUGGGAUACGGCCCAGACUCCUACGGGAGGCAGCAGUGGGGAAUAUUGCACAAUGGGCGGAAGCCUGAUGCAGCAACGCCGCGUGCGGGAUGACGGCCUUCGGGUUGUAAACCGCUUUCGCCUGUGACGAAGCGUGAGUGACGGUAAUGGGUAAAGAAGCACCGGCUAACUACGUG
rnacentral:rRNA from 1 species